GAUGAACGCUGGCGGCGUGCCUAAUACAUGCAAGUCGAGCGAACAGACGAGGAGCUUGCUCCUCUGACGUUAGCGGCGGACGGGUGAGUAACACGUGGAUAACCUACCUAUAAGACUGGGAUAACUUCGGGAAACCGGAGCUAAUACCGGAUAAUAUAUUGAACCGCAUGGUUCAAUAGUGAAAGACGGUUUUGCUGUCACUUAUAGAUGGAUCCGCGCCGCAUUAGCUAGUUGGUAAGGUAACGGCUUACCAAGGCAACGAUGCGUAGCCGACCUGAGAGGGUGAUCGGCCACACUGGAACUGAGACAAGGUCCCGACUCCUAAGGGAGGCAGCAGUAGGGAAUCUUCCGCAAUGGGCGAAAGCUUGAAGGAGCAACGCCGCGUGAGUGAUGAAGGUCUUCGGAUCGGAAAACUCUGUUAUUAGGGAAGAACAAAUGUGUAAGUAACUAUGCACGUCUUGACGGUACCUAAUCAGAAAGCCACGGCUAACUACGUG
rnacentral:rRNA from 1 species